CACGUAGGGCGCGAGCGUUGUCCGGAAUUAUUGGGCGUAAAGAGCUCGUAGGCGGCCUGUUGCGUCCGCUGUGAAAGCCCCGGGGGCUUAACCCCCGGGUCGGCAGUGGAUACGGGCAGGCUAGAGGUAGGUAGGGGAGAAUGGAAUUCCCGGUGUAGCGGUGAAAUGCGCAGAUAUCGGGAGGAACACCGGUGGCGAAGGCGGCGACCUGGUUCAAUACUGACACUGAGGUGCGAAAGCGUGGGGAGCAAACAGG
rnacentral:rRNA from 1 species